rnacentral:rRNA from 1 species
GCUGGCGGAGUGCUUAAUACAUGCAAGUCGUGCGAGAAAGUUUUCUUCGGAGAACGAGUAGAGCAGCGAACGGGUGAGUAACACGUAAAUAACCUGCCCUUAAGUUUGGGACAACCUUGCUAACGCGAGGCUAAUACCGGAUGUGAACAUUUCAACUCAUGUUGUUUUGUUUAAAGGUCCUUCGGGAUUGCUUAGGGAUGGAUUUGCGGACCAUUAGUUAGUUGGUAGGGUAACGGCCUACCAAGACGAUGAUGGUUAGCCGACCUGAGAGGGUGAUCGGCCACAUUGGGACUGAGACACGGCCCAGACUCCUACGGGAGGCAGCAGUAGGGAAUCUUGCGCAAUGGACGAAAGUCUGACGCAGCAACUCCGCGUGGAGGAUGACGGUCUUCGGAUUGUAAACUCCUUUUAUUUGGGAAGAACAUGUUUAUGGUAACAUAAAUACUGACGGUACCAUUUGAAUAAGCCACGGCUAAAUACGUGCCAGCAGCCGCGGUAAU